UUCUGUCGGCGCAGAUCACACGUGUUGCGCCUUUUAAAAUAAAUAAUUUUCGGUUUGUGCAUUUUAUAAAUUUAACUUUUUUAAAUAAAAAUGGACGUAGAAACACAAGAAGUGCAAAAAGUUGAUGAAAAGACAACAGAAAUUGCUGCAACUGAAGAAAAAGCUAAAGAAACUAAGGAGGAAACAAAAGAUAGCGUGGAGGAUGGAGGCAAUGACAAGGAAUUUGGCUACUUGCAGCGCAAUGAGUUUACCUCAGAAAUUUACAAAAUUGAAGUGCGAAAUAUGGGUUACUUUGGCAUGGGGGAAUUUAAAAAAUUGAUAAAAAACAAACUCAAAUUGGACAUGGCCAAAGUUAAAUCUCCCUUGCGCAAAGAAUUUGCUUUUGUAUGUUUCCGUAGCCAGGAGGAUCAGGAAAAGGCUAUACAGCUUUUAAAUGGUUACAAGUGGAAGGGUAAGGUGUUGCAAGCCACGGUGGCUAAAGCUUCGGCAGAUCCCUUGCAAAGGAAACGCAAAGAAGAUGGUCAAUCGGAAGAAAAACAUGGCAGUGACAAUAAAAAACAACGCACCUCAGCCGAUGCCACCUGUCCUUUGGCCCAUUUAAGUUAUGAGGAGCAAUUAAAAAAGAAAUACUAUGAAAUGGAGGAGCUAAUCAAAAAAUUUACCCAUGAUUUGAAAAAAAUUAAUCGGGAUGCCAAACCUCAUUUAGAAAAUUUCAAAUAUGAAGGUGCCUUAGCCUCUCCCCAGAUAAAUGGUUAUCGCAAUAAGAAUGAAUUCACGGUGGGUAAAAAUAGUAAUGGUGAAAUUGUGGUGGGUUUUCGUUUAGGCAGUUAUGCUGAUGGUUCAGUAGAAGUAGCAGAGGUAGAAUCAUUACCUCAUAUUCCUAAAGCAGCCAAAUGGGCUGCGAAAACUUUCCAAGAUUUUGUUAAACAAUCAAAAUUCCAACCUUUUAAUCCAGAGGGAAACACUGGGCACUUUCGUCAAAUAAUGGUGCGCACUUCCAAGCUCACCAAUGAACUUAUGCUGGUGCCCGGCAUCUAUACUUCUAAUUUAACUGAAGAUGAACUAAAACAAGUAAAAGAGGAAUUAAUAGCUUACUAUGAAAACUUAUCCUUUAAGGAUGAGGAGGAGGGCGUGGAAAAAGAGUACAAAUGCACUUCUUUGUAUUAUCAAGAUGUUAAACAUCGUGAGGUGGGUCAAAUGGUUUCACCUGUCGUACAUUUAUCGGGCACUACCCACAUAAGAGAUUCCAUACAAGAUUUAGAAUUUAGAAUAAGUCCCUUGGCUUUCUUUCAAAUAAAUACCGCGAGUGCUAAUGUUUUAUAUCAAAAUGCUAUAGAUUUAGCGGCUCCGAAAGCUCACUCGACAGUUUUGGAUAUUUGCUGUGGUACGGGCACUAUAGCUUUAGCUUUUGCCAAACACUGUAAACAGGUGUUGGGAGUGGAAAUCAUACCCGAUGCCAUUAAGGAUGCUGAGUAUAAUGCGGAGAAGAAUGGUAUAACAAAUUGUAAAUUUUAUGCAGGAAAUGCUGAUGAUUAUAUACAAUCGAUGGUUAGGGAGGUGGUGUAUGGUACAGCGCCGGGUGAACCCUUGGAUUUGGUAGCUGUUGUUGAUCCUCCUAGGGCAGGAUUGCACCAACGUUCCAUACUUGCCAUACGUGCCGCCUCGGCCAUUAAACGUUUAGUCUACAUUUCCUGUAAUCCCCACAGAGCUCAACGCAACUGGAUUGAAUUGGGCCGACCAGAAUCAAAACAAUAUAAAGGAGAACCUUUUUAUCCUGUCACAGCGGUGGCAGUUGAUAUGUUUCCUCACACCACACACACCGAAAUGAUUGUACUUUUUGAGAGAAAAAGUACCGAAGAAAAGGAAAAGCAAAAAGAAAAUGAAACUAAAGCUGAGGGGGAUGAGGUGGUAAAACAAGAGCAACCAACAGAAGAGACUAUGGAUGAGCAGCAAAAGGAAUCUUGUGAAAAACCUGUUGCAGAGGAUAAAGAGGCAGAAAUUGUCAACUGAUUAUAUAUAACAAAUUAUUAACACAAACAACCAUGUUAUUAUCAUAUGACUCUUUGGUUUUACUCCAGUUCAAGUUAUUCUAAGGAAUUGCACCAUCACUUUAUAGUUCCGACUGACUAGAGCAAGAGGUAUAAGUUUCGAGAUGAGGAAAAAACAUCAUGGUAAAAUACCCCGGGGGAGUCUCUUGAUUCCUGAUAACACUUUAUAUUUUUCCGACUCCGAAAUCUUAUCAUAUUUAAGAGAGAUGCCACAUUGUCAGCUAUGCAGCUAGUUGGCACUUAAUCAAUCCAAGGUUGGUUGAUACUAAAUAUUACAACCCUGGCUGUUGAAAAAGUAUGUUGGUUUAUGCAUAACAGAAGAAUAAUGAUAAAAAUAAUAGAAAACAUUCGUGAGUGCCAAACAGGAGAAAACGAAAAAAAGAAAAAUGUAAACAAAUAAAACAAAAAAAAAAAAAAAAACACUGCAAUGUUUAAGCAACAACAAAUAUUAAACAAUCACAAACAGGUCUUUUCCUAAUGUUUGUAAUGUGUGUGAGUACUGUGUUAUAAAAGGAAAAUAUUACAUAUUAUAGAGAAACUUCAAAUGAGAAGGACUAUAAAACAAGUAAUUGAUCAAGUAGAUUUUUUGGAGUGAAAGCAAACAAUAAAAGAAAAAACUAAAGCAAAUCAAACAAAUUAAAAGAAAUAUGUUCUCUUUGAAAUACUAAAAACUGUGUUAUAUGCAAUAGAGUGCGUGAGUGAAUUAGAAAGAGUUAGUGUGUAAUUGACUGGCAAUUAAAAAAGUACUUGGAAAGGAGAACAUAAUACAAAUAAUUAAAUUAACUAAUGAGUGAUUUUUAAUGGAAAGUUAAUGGAAAUAAAGUAAAUAUGAGAACAUUUUAAAGAGUUUGUGACUCACUAUAGAGUUUUUUGAGGAGUUUCUGAAUCCAGUCCCUAAACUUUUAGCUUGACCCAGGUUACAGGAUGGAUAAAGAGAACUUUGCUUAAACUUCAGUAUGAUAUCAGAAGACAUCAGUUCAUACUAUAUUGAGUGUUCGCUAAAAAUGAUCGAAUUGAAGACUAUAUAAAUAUGUUUCUUCAAGAUAUAUGGAGCACUACUUGUUAAAGAAUUAUUUAACUUUUGAAAUGUAUCAUUUUUUAUUAAGUUGCUUUAAAGAUAAUAAACUGAAUACGAAAAAGUAUAAAAAAUUAAAAAUAUUGAACUAAUAGAUAAAUAAAUUAAACAAAAAUAUAUGUAUGUUAUAUAUCGAUAUAAUUUAAUGAAAUUUGUAAAUAAAAAAUGGUCAUCAAAAGCUGCCAGAUGUGUCUGCACAUGUUUUGUUAAUACUACGGCGGUUUUUAAGAAU
rnacentral:misc_RNA from 1 species